rnacentral:rRNA from 1 species
AGCAGCCGCGGUAAUUCCAGCUCCAAUAGCGUAUAUUAAAGUUGUUGCAGUUAAAAAGCUCGUAGUUGAAUUUCGGGAUUGACGUGAUGGUCGUGCCUUACGGGGUAUGAACUGUUGCAGUCAAUUUCUCACCUUCUGGAGAAAUAUGAUGUCCUUAAUUGGGUGUCAUAUGGAACCAGAACUUUUACCUUGAAAAAAUUAGAGUGUUUAAAGCAGGCUUAUUGCUCGAAUACAUUAGCAUGGAAUAAUAAAAUAGGACGGCAUGGUUCUAUUUUGUUGGUUUCUAGGAUCACCGUAAUGAUUAAUAGGGAUAGUUGGGGGCAUUAGUAUUCAAUUGUCAGAGGUGAAAUUCUUGGAUUUAUUGAAGACUAACUACUGCGAAAGCAUUUGCCAAGGAUGUUUUCAUUAAUCAAGAACGAAAGUUAGGGGAUCGAAGACGAUCAGAUACCGUCGUAGUCUUAACCAUAAACUAUGCCGACUAGGAAUCAGACGAUGUUAAUUUUUUAAUGACUCGUUUGGCACCUUACGG